GCCCCUCUAGCUCAGUUGGUAGAGCUGGCGACUUUUAAUCGCUAGGUCGUAGGUUCGAGUCCUACGGGGGGCAC
rnacentral:tRNA from 1 species